rnacentral:rRNA from 1 species
AUACGGAGGAUGCGAGCGUUAUCCGGAUUUAUUGGGUUUAAAGGGUGCGUAGGCUGUUAGUUAAGUUAGGGGUGAAAUGCCGGUGCUCAACGCCGGAGCUGCCCUUGAUACUGGCUGGCUGGAGUGCGGAUGCCGUUGGAGGAAUGCGUGGUGUAGCGGUGAAAUGCUUAGAGAUCACUCAGAACACCGAUUGCGAAGGCAUCUGACUAAUCCGUCACUGACGCGGAGGCACGAAAGCGUGGGGAUAGAACAGGAUUAGAUACCCUGGUAUUCCACGCCGUAAACGAUGAUGACUAACCGUCGGCGAUAGAAUGUCGGUGGCCAAGCGAAAGCGAUAAGUCAUCCACCUGGGGAGUACGUCGGCAACGAUGAAACUCAAAUGAAUUGACGGGG